AGUGAACGCUGGCGGUAGGCCUAACACAUGCAAGUCGAACGGCAGCACAGGAGAGCUUGCUCUCUAGGUGGCGAGUGGCGGACGGGUGAGGAAUACAUCGGAAUCUGCCCAGUCGUGGGGGAUAACGUAGGGAAACUUACGCUAAUACCGCAUACGACCUUCGGGUGAAAGAGGGGGAUCGCAAGACCUCUCGCGAUUGGAUGAGCCGAUGUCGGAUUAGCUAGUUAGGGGGGUAAUGGCCCACCAAGGCGAAGAACCGUAGCUGGUCUGAGAGGAUGAUCAGCCAAAGUGGAACUGAGACAGGGACCAGACUCCUAGGGGAGGCAGGAGGGGGGAAUAUUGGAAAAGGGGGGGAAGCCUGACCCAGCCAUACCGGGGGGGUGAAGAAGGCCUUCGGGUUGUAAAGCCCUUUUGUUGGGAAAAAAAUCUUUCAGGCUAAAACCCGGGGAGGAUGACGGUACCCAAAAAAAAAGCACCGGCUAACUUCGU
rnacentral:rRNA from 1 species